GCAUGCCUUAUUAUUAGAUGAGUGAGGUGAAGCGAUAACUGUGAAGGCCAAUAUGGUGACACAGGCAAAGAGACUUGGCAGAGGAGACACGCAGGUCACCCUUGCUAAGGUUCAACUGAGAGCAUCCAUGGAGUGUUGGAAGUCGAUGAGGCAGGCCUUGUGGAAGCUGCGGUCACGGUUGCGAGGCAUGGCGGCACCACUGAGGCAGAGCUCAGCGAGUUUUGCUUAUGAUCUAAAGAGCUACUCCCAGAACUUUGACGAUGGUUUUCUCCAUGAGCAGUUUGUGCCGUGCUCUCACCACUUCAUUCAAUUCCUGACGACCGUCAGUCCUCUGGAGGCGCAAUUUUGCAUAUUAGAAGUUGGAUCGUACCGUGCUCUCACCACUUCAUUCAAUUCCUGACGGCCGUCAGUUCUCUGGAGGCGCAAUUUUGCUUAUUAGAAGUUGGAUCGUAAAAGAGGGGUAAUUUCCAUGUAUGUGUAUCGACUUGGAAAGGCUAAAUCUUCCUCGAGGACAAGUAAAUAAUUAUCUCGAGUCGUAGAGUUCCUCUCGUUUCCUAUCUAAAUUAGAAAUCUAUAUACACGUUAGCAUACCACAUUCUUCCUAUUAACGUGAUCGGCGUCGAUUGUCUACUGCCUUCUCUGUACCUGAGAAACGAGAUGCUGUCCCCAUCACCAGUAUUGCCUCAUAAAAUGUCCAGUAAGAUUAAAAGGUUAACCCGUGACGAUACAGAUUAUUAGCACGACUAUUUAUUCAGGUCUUUGGAACUCGAAGAGUAUUGUUUUGACAAUGGAAAUCGACUUUAAAGGAUUGAAUCGACGAUCUGUAUUCAAUCUCAUUAUAUUAGGAUUAAUUACUCAUGUGAUUUACAUUGAGAAUCUAUAAUUUUAAAAAUAAAAUAAAUAAUCUCAUAUAUUCUGAUCCCGUCAACUACAUUGACGGAUAAAAAGAAGGAAAAUAAAUAAUUUUAAUAUCU
rnacentral:lncRNA from 1 species